CCGAUCCUUCCGUUGGGCAAUUUCCAUUCGCCGAGCAUCAGCAUGCAUUUCGAAGGCGGCAUAGGACUACAACUGCUUUACAUGCCAUCACCGUACACAAAAAUAGAAACAACGUUCUCAAACCCUUUGAUGGCAGCACUUGGUGUGCUGAAAAAGAAAACUUGGACUAACCACGUACAAAGCAAUUAUCCGGUCUGUGUUUAAUUUUAUUAAUAACAGGGAAAACCCGCAAAGAAUUAAAUUGAUCUCAAAGGAAUCUAAUGGCCUCUAUGUUCUCCUCUAUUGGUGCUCCUGCCGUAUGUUCGGUUUUGCCUCCAAUGGCAGCUAACUCUGUCUAUAUGGUAAUAUUCAAGGCUACGCCCAACCGGAGGGCAUUUUUAGGGUACUAGCCUGGAACAAAAAUUCCUAUUGAGACUUCCUACCUGCCUAAAGGGUGCUCUAUCUAUUUGGGAAAGAUAAUCUGUACAUCCGUCUGCCCAAACGUUUAGGUUUAAGUAUAAAGAGUUAGUGUCUAUGUAGCCGCCACCUGGAGCACUGCGUUCUGCGAGUACGUUUGAAGGAGGUACCACGAUGGUGCAGAGGCGGUGAGCCGUAGGUCAGCAAGCUGAGCUAUGUUUUCUUUUACUUUUAAAUAGUUUUCCCGCUAAAAUUAGUUCGUAAGGUGUUUAAUAACAAUAGCUUUUAAUUGAAGUCUUUUUUUUUGUAAUAAUAGUUUGUAACUUCA
rnacentral:sRNA from 1 species